UCGAGAAUCUUUCACAAUGGGGGCAACCCUGAUGGAGCGACGCCGCGUGGAGGAUAAGGUCUUCGGAUUGUAAACUCCUGUCAUGCGAGAACAAGGUUGCAGGGUUAAUAACUCUGCAAAUUGAUGGUACCGCAAGAGGAAGAGACGGCUAACUCUGUGCCAGCAGCCGCGGUAAUACAGAGGUCUCAAGCGUUGUUCGGAAUCACUGGGCGUAAAGGGUGCGUAGGUGGCGUGGUAAGUCAGAUGUGAAAGCCCGGGGCUCAACCCCGGAAUUGCAUCCGAUACUGCCAUGCUGGAGUACUGAAGAGGUGACUAGAAUUCUCGGUGUAGCAGUGAAAUGCGUAGAUAUCGAGAGGAAUACCAAAGGCGAAGGCAGGUCACUGGGCAGUUACUGACACUGAGGCACGAAGGCCAGGGGAGCAAACGGGAUUAGAUACCCCCGUAGUCC
rnacentral:rRNA from 1 species